UUGGAGCUCACAGAAGUUAUGGCCCAAGAUGGAACAGCAAGUCUGUGGCAGACGAGGUCCGAGAACUCGCUCUCCUGAUGCCUCAGCUGAGAACACGUUCUACUUCACCACCUGGUCUCCCAGCUACCCAACGGCAUAUGAACAACCAGGGAAUUAUUUUGGGGGAUACCCCCAAAGAGAUUUGGAGAUCCUGGAAACUGGAAAAAACAAAACAAUCUGUCUAGGACGGCACCUCAUCCAGGACACUAAUUCCUGCCCUUGGACACUGCUACUCCUGGUUCUCAGGCCUUUGAACUUGGACUAGGACUUACACCAUCAGCUCCCCUGGUUAUACACCACCAGCUUUCUUGGUUCUUCACCUUCAGAGAGCAGACAGUGGGACUUCUUGACCUCCAUUUCCAAUUCCCAAAAUAAAUCUUCUUAUAUCUAUG